rnacentral:rRNA from 1 species
GUAAAAGUCGUAACAAGGUCUCCGUUGGUGAACCAGCGGAGGGAUCAUUACUGAGUUUACGCUCUAUAACCCUUUGUGAACAUACCUAUAACUGUUGCUUCGGCGGGUAGGGUCUCCGCGACCCUCCCGGCCUCCCGCCUCCGGGCGGGUCGGCGCCCGCCGGAGGAUAACCAAACUCUGAUUUAACGACGUUUCUUCUGAGUGGUACAAGCAAAUAAUCAAAACUUUUAACAACGGAUCUCUUGGUUCUGGCAUCGAUGAAGAACGCAGCGAAAUGCGAUAAGUAAUGUGAAUUGCAGAAUUCAGUGAAUCAUCGAAUCUUUGAACGCACAUUGCGCCCGCCAGCAUUCUGGCGGGCAUGCCUGUUCGAGCGUCAUUUCAACCCUCAAGCUCUGCUUGGUGUUGGGGCCCUACAGCUGAUGUAGGCCCUCAAAGGUAGUGGCGGACCCUCCCGGAGCCUCCUUUGCGUAGUAACUUUACGUCUCGCACUGGGAUCCGGAGGGACUCUUGCCGUAAAACCCCCCAAUUUUCCAAAGGUUGACCUCGGAUCAGGUAGGAAUACCCGCUGAACUUAA